rfam:Ipomoea nil DNA, scaffold: scaffold1317, cultivar: Tokyo-kokei standard.
GUGAAUGUAGCUCAUAUGGUAGAGCGCUCGCUUUGCAUGCGAGAGGUACGGGGAUCGAUUCCUCGCAUCUCCA